GUCGGCUGGGCCUUUUACGGAAACAUCCUGCACUAUGUUCCUUCUAUACCUACUAACUUUACGAAGUAAUUUGCUUGUUAAAGUGUUUUAGAUAUAUAACGUACCGCAGAUGGGGGGCAUUCUAACUGAAAAUUAAUUAAUUGUGUCUAUUUUUUCAUAAAAAAUUCACGAACAGCAUGUUUAUGCUUUGAAUUUAACU
rnacentral:misc_RNA from 1 species